AAUUUUCGAUAUAAAUAUAGUCCUAACGAGCUAGAGAGUUAGGUCAGUUCAAAUAAUCGAACAUUUUGUUAUCAUUUUCACCUUCGAACAGAAUUUUGAAGUAAAAUGAAAGUUUUUGGCCUACUUAUUUCGGCUAUGUUGGGGGUACUCGCAUUUGGCGGGAUGGUAGACGCACGAGCAUCAGCUAUGCCGGAACCAUCGCCAACCAUUGGGAACCAUAUACACAGUUAAAAGCUUUGCAAAUGGGCUCAGAUAAUUUUAUAUAAAAAUUAUAUGACUGGCACAGCAUUUCAAAUGAAAUAAAAAUAAUUUUUUUGCCAAAACACAAA